CACGGAGAGAAGGAGAAGGAAGAUGGGAGCAAGGCCAAACGACUGCAGCCACCCCUGUCACAUGAUCAUGGUAACAGAGAUCUACGGCACACCUGCUGGGGGACACAGAGGAGAAAAAACAGAAAGUCAAACUGAAAACCCAACAGGGGAGGAAACAGCAGAGAGGUCUCUCCAAAGGUGACCCCACACGUCAAAGGUUGUUCCAGGAGGUCAUAGUCAUCGACUCGAGUCAAGAUGACGUCAUCACUGUGUCAGACAACACGGAGGAGGAUGACGGGGUGUGUAGCUUGAAAGGUCGGAGGUUAAAGAAAGGACCCCUGCAGGCCUCGACCCCGGGACAACAGAGAAACCCCGCCCCAAAGAGGAGGAGCUCCAGUGUGAACUCUGACUCGGUGGUGGUGUUGGACUCAGAAUCCGGAGCGAAGUCUGGAUCGGACUCUGAUUCGGACAGUCUGGAGAGCUGGAUGAUUCUUGGCAGCGGGAAACAAGAUGGAGACCAGGGCAUCAUACUGAACCUGGAGGGAGAAGGAGACA